rnacentral:lncRNA from 1 species
UUUGAUCAUACGUUCUUACAAUCAAAACUUAUAUUUUGAUUUGUACAUAUAUACAUAGUUUAAUCAUUUAAAUAAAUAGAUAAAUUAAUGUAUAUAUGUCCCUAUUUCCUAGGGAGAAAAAUAAGACAUUAAAAAAGAAUACAGAGUGCUAGGGAUGAUGAGUAUUUAUAAUGUUAAAUAGAAGGAUCAUCACCAAUAAAAGGUGAUAUUUGAAUAAAAAUCUCAAAAAAGUGAAGAGGAGGUCAUGCUGCAUUUAGGAGAAGCAUAGCUAAAAGGAAACACAAUUUAAAAACUUUGAGACAGAGCCUGCCUACUUUGCAUAAUGCACAACAGGAGAUCUAUGUGGCCAGAGUGGAGGAACCCUUGGCUUUGAGGAACAAAUCAACAAAUAUAUGGAACUUGCAAAAUACUUCUAUAAGGUUUUAAAGAAAAAAGAUAACUUUAAGCUUGUGUUUGAUGCAGAGUUGACGUCAUGGUCAUGGCAUGGAUGAAUGGAAGUUUGAAGGAAUUUGUAAACCAAAAUAUGGGGAAGAUGAUAACAUAGAUAUGAAAAUCCUCAAGAAUUAUGACUCAAGAGUUUAUUGGAGAAACAAGCAGAUCCCGUGCCAGACUAGGCCCUCUCUGAGGAAAGUAGCUACUUCUUUUAUCUCUGAAUCCAGGCCCUGACAUGUACUAAGCACAGAAAGAAACCUUUAUUUAAAUACAUAAACAUUAAGUGAGAUAAAUUAAAGUACUUCUGAAAUAAUGAAGUCACUAAAGAAUUAAGUGGAGUUUUUAUGGAUACUUGUAAAAUAUUUUUCUUUGAUUUAGCCUGAGUUCACUAAUGUCUGCUUCUGGUAUUUCCCAGCAAGGCUUAAACAUAUUCCAAAAGGUUUUGAAAGAGAUCAAGAACUCCGAAAGAUUGCUCCAAAGAUUAAAGCACAGAUGAUGAUGGAAGGCACAAUCAUGAUAAGCUACCAGCCAUGUGGAGACAAAGUAAAUAUUUUGCGAAUGGUUUUUUUCUAAUCCUGCCUCAAGACAGAAAGAUGUUGACUAUCUUAUUGAUGAAAUUGAAAGGCUUGGGAAGGAUUUAUGAUACUUCAAUGUGAACUUGGAUAUCCCAUGUAAACAUCAACUUAAUUCUAUUCCUAAGGAUAAUAAGAAAGGAAUAUUGAAACUGUUAUAAAAAUGUUAUGAAUAAGAACUUUUAAUUUUUAUUCUAUGCUAUGUAAGAUGAAAGGUAAGAUGAAA